UACGUAGGGGGCAAGCGUUGUCCGGAUUUAUUGGGCGUAAAGAGCGUGUAGGCGGCUUUACAGGUCCGUUGUGAAAACUCGAGGCUCAACCUCGAGACGCCGGUGGAAACCGUAAAGCUAGAGUCCGGAAGAGGAGAGUGGAAUUCCUGGUGUGGCGGUGAAAUGCGCAGAUAUCAGGAAGAACACCCGUGGCGAAGGCGGCUCUCUGGGACGGUACUGACGCUGAGACGCGAAAGCGUGGGGAGCGAACAGG
rnacentral:rRNA from 1 species